rnacentral:rRNA from 1 species
GAUGAACGCUGGCGGCGUGCCUAAUACAUGCAAGUCGAGCGAAUGGAUUGAGAGCUUGCUCUUAUGAAGUUAGCGGCGGACGGGUGAGUAACACGUGGGUAACCUGCUCAUAAGACUGGGAUAACCCCGGGAAACCGGGGCUAAUACCGGAUAACAUUUUGAACCGCAUGGUUCGAAAUUGAAAGGCGGCUUCGGCUGUCACUUAUGGAUGGACCCGCGUCGCAUUAGCUAGUUGGUGAGGUAACGGCUCACAAAGGCAACGAUGCGUAGCCGACCUGAGAGGGUGAUCGGCCACACUGGGACUGAGACACGGCCCAGACUCCUACGGGAGGCAGCAGUAGGGAAUCUUCCGCAAUGGACGAAAGUCUGACGGAGCAACGCCGCGUGAGUGAUGAAGGCUUUCGGGUCGUAAAACUCUGUUGUUAGGGAAGAACAAGUGCUAGUUGAAUAAGCUGGCACCUUGACGGUACCUAACCAGAAAGCCACGGCUAACUACGUGCCAGCAGCCGCGGUAA